rnacentral:rRNA from 1 species
CCUACGGGAGGCAGCAGUGAGGAAUAUUGGUCAAUGGACGCAAGUCUGAACCAGCCAUGCCGCGUGCAGGAAGACGGCUCUAUGAGUUGUAAACUGCUUUUGUACGAGGGUAAACGCAGAUACGCGUAUCUGUCUGAAAGUAUCGUACGAAUAAGGAUCGGCUAACUCCGUGCCAGCAGCCGCGGUAAUACGGAGGAUUCAAGCGUUAUCCGGAUUUAUUGGGUUUAAAGGGUGCGUAGGCGGUCGGAUAAGUUAGUGGUAAAAUUGAGGGGCUCAACCCCUUCCCGCCAUUGAAACUGGCGCUCGUGAGUGGAAGAGAAGUAUGCGGAAUGCGUGGUGUAGCGGUGAAAUGCAUAGAGAUCACGCAGAACCCCGAUUGCGAAGGCAGCAUGCCGGCUUCCGACUGACGCUGAAGCACGAAAGCGUGGGGAUCGAACAGGAUUAGAUACCCCUGUAGUC